rnacentral:rRNA from 1 species
UCAGAUGAGCCUAGGUCGGAUUAGCUAGUUGGUGAGGUAAUGGCUCACCAAGGCUACGAUCCGUAACUGGUCUGAGAGGAUGAUCAGUCACACUGGAACUGAGACACGGUCCAGACUCCUACGGGAGGCAGCAGUGGGGAAUAUUGGACAAUGGGCGAAAGCCUGAUCCAGAAAGGCCGCGUGUGUGAAGAAGGUCUUCGGAUGUAAAUCAAAGAGAGUGGGAGGAAGGGCAUUAACCUAAUACGUUAGUGUUUG